rnacentral:rRNA from 1 species
AGACCCGAAACCCGGUGAUCUAGCCAUGGGCAGGUUGAAGGUUGGGUAACACUAACUGGAGGACCGAACCGACUAAUGUUGAAAAAUUAGCGGAUGACUUGUGGCUGGGGGUGAAAGGCCAAUCAAACCGGGAGAUAGCUGGUUCUCCCCGAAAGCUAUUUAGGUAGCGCCUCGUGAAUUCAUCUCCGGGGGUAGAGCACUGUUUCGGCAAGGGGGUCAUCCCGACUUACCAACCCGAUGCAAACUGCGAAUACCGGAGAAUGUUAUCACGGGAGACACACGGCGGGUGCUAACGUCCGUCGUGAAGAGGGAAACAACCCAGACCGCCAGCUAAGGUCCCAAAGUCAUGGUUAAGUGGGAAACGAUGUGGGAAGGCCCAGACAGCCAGGAUGUUGGCUUAGAAGCAGCCAUCAUUUAAAGAAAGCGUAAUAGCUCACUGGUCGAGUCGGCCUGCGCGGAAGAUGUAACGGGGCUAAACCAUGCACCGAAGCUGCGGCAGCGACACUGUGUGUUGUUGGGUAGGGGAGCGUUCUGUAAGCCUGUGAAGGUGUACUGUAAGGUAUGCUGGAGGUAUCAGAAGUGCGAAUGCUGACAUAAGUAACGAUAAAGCGGGUGAAAAGCCCGCUCGCCGGAAGACCAAGGGUUCCUGUCCAACGUUAAUCGGGGCAGGGUGAGUCGACCCCUAAGGCGAGGCCGAAAGGCGUAGUCGAUGGGAAACAGGUUAAUAUUCCUGUACUUGGUGUUACUGCGAAGGGGGGACGGAGAAGGCUAUGUUGGCCGGGCGACGGUUGUCCCGGUUUAAGCGUGUAGGCUGGUUUUCCAGGCAAAUCCGGAAAAUCAAGGCUGAGGCGUGAUGACGAGGCACUACGGUGCUGAAGCAACAAAUGCCCUGCUUCCAGGAAAAGCCUCUAAGCAUCAGGUAACAUCAAAUCGUACCCCAAACCGACACAGGUGGUCAGGUAGAGAAUACCAAGGCGCUUGAGAGAACUCGGGUGAAGGAACUAGGCAAAAUGGUGCCGUAACUUCGGGAGAAGGCACGCUGAUAUGUAGGUGAAGUCCCUCGCGGAUGGAGCUGAAAUCAGUCGAAGAUACCAGCUGGCUGCAACUGUUUAUUAAAAACACAGCACUGUGCAAACACGAAAGUGGACGUAUACGGUGUGACGCCUGCCCGGUGCCGGAAGGUUAAUUGAUGGGGUCAGCGCAAGCGAAGCUCUUGAUCGAAGCCCCGGUAAACGGCGGCCGUAACUAUAACGGUCCUAAGGUAGCGAAAUUCCUUGUCGGGUAAGUUCCGACCUGCACGAAUGGCGUAAUGAUGGCCAGGCUGUCUCCACCCGAGACUCAGUGAAAUUGAACUCGCUGUGAAGAUGCAGUGUACCCGCGGCAAGACGGAAAGACCCCGUGAACCUUUACUAUAGCUUGACACUGAACAUUGAGCCUUGAUGUGUAGGAUAGGUGGGAGGCUUUGAAGUGUGGACGCCAGUCUGCAUGGAGCCGACCUUGAAAUACCACCCUUUAAUGUUUGAUGUUCUAACGUGGACCCGUGAUCCGGGUUGCGGACAGUGUCUGGUGGGUAGUUUGACUGGGGCGGUCUCCUCCUAAAGAGUAACGGAGGAGCACGAAGGUUGGCUAAUCCUGGUCGGACAUCAGGAGGUUAGUGCAAUGGCAUAAGCCAGCUUGACUGCGAGCGUGACGGCGCGAGCAGGUGCGAAAGCAGGUCAUAGUGAUCCGGUGGUUCUGAAUGGAAGGGCCAUCGCUCAACGGAUAAAAGGUACUCCGGGGAUAACAGGCUGAUACCGCCCAAGAGUUCAUAUCGACGGCGGUGUUUGGCACCUCGAUGUCGGCUCAUCACAUCCUGGGGCUGAAGUAGGUCCCAAGGGUAUGGCUGUUCGCCAUUUAAAGUGGUACGCGAGCUGGGUUUAGAACGUCGUGAGACAGUUCGGUCCCUAUCUGCCGUGGGCGCUGGAGAACUGAGGGGGGCUGCUCCUAGUACGAGAGGACCGGAGUGGACGCAUCACUGGUGUUCGGGUUGUCAUGCCAAUGGCACUGCCCGGUAGCUAAAUGCGGAAGAGAUAAGUGCUGAAAGCAUCUAAGCACGAAACUUGCCCCGAGAUGAGUUCUCCCUGACCCUUUAAGGGUCCUGAAGGAACGUUGAAGACGACGACGUUGAUAGGCCGGGUGUGUAAGCGCAGCGAUGCGUUGAGCUAACCGGUACUAAUGAACCGUGAGGCUUAACCUUACAACGCCGAAGGUGUUU